rnacentral:rRNA from 1 species
GGUAAGGUAACGGCUUACCGAAGGCGAUGAUGCAUAGCCCGAGUUUGAGAGACUGAUCGGCCACAUUGGGACUGAGACACGGGCCCAAAAACUCCUACGGGGAGGCAGCAGUAGGGAAUCUUCCACAAUGGACGAAAGUCUGAUGGAGCAACGCCGCGUGAGUGAAGAAGGUUUUCGGAUCGUAAAAGCUCUGUUGUUGGUGAAGAAGGAUAGAGGUAGUAACUGGCCUUUAUUUGACGGUAAUCAACCAGAAAGUCACGGCUAACUACGUGCCAGCAGCCGCGGUAAU